GCAUUCAACACAUGCAUAGAAAAUAUCAACAAAAUAAAGAAAUAGCAAAACCGAACAAAACAAAGCAGAAAGUUCACUUUAGAAAAUGAAACGCCAAACGAACAUCAGCAGUGGCUCUUCCUCAACCCAAAUCAGCCAAAGUGCUUCCCACUAUAUCUGCAUCGAUACCCACAGAAAGGAAACACUGGAGCUAUGAACAGAUUCUUGGAGAUUCAACCGAACCUUCUCCAAAGUUUAAAGCUAACUCAUCAACAACCUUGAGACUUCCGUCCCCACGCAAUCCAGUCCUUUCUCACCGCCUGUAGAAUCAGAUUUGGGACAUCAGUAUCCCAGAUCCGAUAAGCCUCUCUCCUCCGUCUUUCGAUGGCUAGAGCAUGCGCCGUUUCAUUUCCUUCCCGAGGCACAAAUGUGUAAGUAACCUCUUCAAAACUCCUAUCAAGCUGUUGGAUGUGAUAAACGAUCGAUCUAAUAAUCGAUUUGCCCACCUCUCUAUUUCUAAUGGAUUUUAUGACUGACAAGGCAUCCCCUUCCACCACCAGCCGUUGGAGACCCAACGCAUGUGUAAAAAUCAACGCUCUCUCACAAGCCCGAGCCUCUGCCACAAAAGGGUCAGCAACAUCAUUUAAAAGUGAGCUUUCAAAAGAGGGAUUCUGCACCAAUAACGAGUUCCAAAUAUCCUGCAGAACAUCACAACUCCACAAGAGGUGAUCAGAAUUCUCCAACUCAUUCUUACACAAUGGACAUACCACAGCUACGCACAGAGUCCGACGCGCCAGAUUUUCGUAGUGAGGCACCAAAUUGUGAAACAGCCGCCAAACGUGUAUUUUAAUUUUUCCUGGAAUACUUAAAUUCCAUAGCCCUGUAAAGAAUUUUUUGUAAUUCUCCGAUAUAGAGGAUAGGUUAGCUCUAUUUUAUAAUAAUACUAUAGAGAGGGCCCUGUAUCCGCUCUUGACCGUAUAUUCACCCGAACCCUCAUACUUCCAAACCCUCACGUCUUCCGGCCUACUCACGAAAAUAGGUAUAGAGAGGAUUCUUUUAACAGUUUCAUCAUCAAACAGCUUAUGUAUGACCUCCCUGUUCCAGGUAACCAGGGAUCGUUCUAUAGAUUAGUGCACCCACCGUCCCCCACCCGCCACACCAUCCCUUCUCGAAUCACCUUACGAGCACUGCAGAUACUUCUCUAGGUAAAUGAGGGGCUUGGACGUGUAGCCUUACCCAUGAGCAAGUCUAAUACUAUGGCUAAGAGCGGAGCCGCAAAGUUGAGGAAGUUGAAAGCGCAGAUAAAAGUGACAAAGUCGAUAGAGUUUGAUGGUAGGAUUAGUAAGGAGUCUCUAACAGAAUUUGUUUCUAGAAAUAGGAAAUAGGUAUGUUUCGAGAUGCAGAAAAAAUUUGGAGGGUGAUGAAGAUAAUGCUGUGGAUGUUUUGGUCGAGAUUGUGACUUGACAAAUUCUUAUAUGAAGAUUUCAGCAGUUUUUUUAUAUGAGUGGAGUAGGUGUUGGUCGUUAAAGGUAUUCAAGAAGGCAAGUAACAUAGUGGAUCCAAUUGGAACUUCUUGUUGGCUUUGCGUUCAGUGGUAUUUGUGGAGUUUUAUUGUGGUUACAGAAUUUGUGAAGUGUGAUUACUAGUAGUGAAGUAUGGUUGAAGCUUUUAUUAGUGAUAUUGAAGGUGUGUUUUAGAUGGUCUUUGUUUGUUUAGUGAGUUUCAUUGGAGAUGUGUGGUUUUCUCUUUCUAUAA